rnacentral:lncRNA from 1 species
ACUAAGAAGACAUACAUACAAGUAUGAAAAAUGUGAAAGAAUAUAUAAACACUCGUGAUUUAUCAUUACUCCUCCACGAAUAGAUAAUUGUUACACUUAUAUUAUCAUUUAGAUUUUUUAAAUCCUUCAAACCCUCAUGAAUAAUGUUUUUUAUUUGAGGGAAAAAUUAAUAAAAUUAAUAAUAAUUAUUGUAGAAGUGUAAAAAAUGUAAAAAUAUAUAUAUAAAAUCACUCAUAUAUAAAAAAAUGUAAAUGCUUUAAAUUAAAGAUCAAAUUUAUUCAUUACAUUUUUAUAGGGUCGAGAAGUGUAUCUGUAAAAAAUCAUCAAAAUCAGAGAUAAAAUAACCAUUAAAUUAUGAUUUUUCGUUUAUAACCGCCGAAAACUUUUGUUCCAUUACGUAAUCUCUGAAUGUUUGUUUUUUACGAUUUUUUACAUAUGCGAUCUCGAAAUGUGUACAAAUAAGUCUGACGGUUGGAUUGUUAAAAAAAAGUUUCAUAGAAUGCAUAUUGCGUCAAAACGGUAGAUUAAGCAAACACUUAGAGUUAAUAUUAUACUUCUAUUAAGUAUAAAAUAGGUUUUUGUGGUAUCCACUAGUGUAAAUACUUUAAAUUAAAGAUCAAAUUUAUUCAUUACAUUCUUAUAGAGUCGAGGAGUGUAUCUGUAAAAAAUCAUCAAAAUCGGAGCUAAAAUAACCGUUAAAUUGUGAUUUUUCGUUUAUAACCGUCGAAACCUUUUGUUCCGUUACGUAAUCUCUGAAUGUUUAUUUUUUAUGAUUUUUUACGUAUGCGAUCUCGGAAUGUGUACAAAUAAGUUUGACUGUUGGAUCAUUGAAAAAAGUUUUGUAGAAUGCAUAUUGCGUCAAAACAGUACAUUAAACAAACACUUAGAGUUAAUAUUAUACUUCUAUUAAGUAUAAAAUAAGUUUUUGUGGAAUCCACUAGUGUAAAUACUUUAAAUUAAAGAUAAAAUUUAUUCAUUGCAUUCUUAUAGGGUCGAGGAGUGUAUUUGUAAAAAAUCAUCAAAAUCAGAGAUAAAAUAACCGUUAAAUUGUGAUUUUUCAUUUAUAACCGUCGAAAACUUGCGUUCCAUUACGUAAUCUCUGAAUGUUUGUUUUUUACGAUUUUUUACGUAUACGAUCUUGGAACGUUUACAAAUAAUUUUGACGGUUGGAUCGUUGAAAAAAGCUUCGUAGAAUGCAUAUUGCAUCAAAAUGGUAGAUUAAACAAACACUUAUAGUUAAUAUUAUACUUCUAUUAAGUAUAAAAUAAGUUUUUGUGGUAUCCACUAGUGUAAAUACUUUAAAUUAAAGAUCAAUUUUAUUCAUUACAUUCUUAUAGGGUCGAGGAGUGUAUCUGUAAAAAAUCAUCAAAAUCAGAGAUAAAAUAACCGUUAAAUUGUGAUUUUUCGUUUAUAACCGCCGAAACCUUUUGUUCCAUUACGUAAUCUCUGAAUGUUUGUUUUUUACGAUUUUUUACGUAUGCGAUCUCGAAAUGUGUACAAAUAAAUUUGACGGUUGGAUCGUUGAAAAAAGUUUCAUAGAAUGCAUAUUGCGUCAAAAUGGUAGAUUAAGCAAACACUUAGAGUUAAUAUUAUACUUCUAUUAAGUAUAAAAUAAGUUUUGUGGUAUCCACUAGUGUAAAUACUUUAAAUUAAAGAUCAAAUUUAUUCAUUACAUUCUUAUGGGGUCGAGGAGUGUAUCUGUAAAAAAUCAUCAAAAUCGGAGCUAAAAUAACCGUUAAAUUGUGAUUUUUCGUUUAUAAUCGUCGAAAACUUUUGUUCUGUUACGUAAUCUCUGAAUGUUUGUUUUUUAUGAUUUUUUACAUAUGCGAUCUUGGAAUGUGUACAAAUAAGUUUGACGGUUGGAUCGUUGAAAAAAGUUUUGUAGAAUGCAUAUUGCGUCAAAACAGUACAUUAAAUAAACACUUAGAGUUAAUAUUAUACUUCUAUUAAGUAUAAAAUAAGUUUUUGUGGUAUCCACUAGUGUAAAUACUUUAAAUUAAAGAUCAAAUUUAUUCAUUACAGUCUUAUAGGGUCGAGGAGUGUAUCUGUAAAAAAUCAUCAAAAUCAGAGAUAAAGUAACCGUUAAAUUGUGAUUUUUCGUUUAUAACCGUCGAAAUGUUUUGUUCCAUUACAUAAUCUCUGAAUGUUUGUUUUUUACGAUUUUUUACGUAUGCGAUCUCGGAAUGUGUACAAAUAAGUUUGACGGUUGGAUCGUUGAAAAACGUUUUGUAGAAUGCAUAUUGCGUCAAAACAGUACAUUAAACAAACACUUAGAGUUAAUAUUAUACUUCUAUUAAGUAUAAAAUAAGUUUUUGUGGUAUCCACUAGUGUAAAUACUUUAAAUUAAAGAUCAAAUUUAUUCAUUACAUUCUUAUAGGGUCGAGGAGUGUUUUUGUAAAAAAUCAUCAAAAUCGGAGCUCAAAUUACCGUUAAAUUGUGAUUUUUCGUUUAUAACCGUUGAAAACGUUUGUUCCGUUACGUAAUCUCUGAAUGUUUGUUUUUUACGAUUUUUUAUGUAUGCGAUCUCGAAAUGUGUACAAAUAAUUUUGACGGUUGGAUCGUUGAAAAAAGUUUCGUAGAAUGCAUAUUGCGUCAAAACGGUAGAUUAAACAAACACUUAGAGUUAAUAUUAUACUUCUAUUAAGUAUAAAAUAAGUUUUUGUGGUAUCCACUAGUGUAAAUACUUUAAAUUAAAGAUCAAAUUUAUUCAUUACAUUCUUAUAGGGUCGAGGAGUGUAUUUGUAAAAAAUCAUCAAGAUCGGAGCUAAAAUAACCGUUAAAUUGUGAUUUUUCGUUUAUAACCGUCGAAAACUUUUGUUCCGUUACGUAAUCUCUGAAUGUUUGUUUUUAAAGAUUUUUUACGUAUGCAAUCUUGGAAUGUGUCAAAUAAGUUUGACGGUUGGAUCGUUGAAAAAAGUUUUUGGGCCGCCAACAAUAGAUAAUUUUGUAGUAGUGAAACCUUAAAUUUGUUUAACCGUUAAUUGUUAUUUACACUUUAUUCUUCUUACUGAAUUUCAUUUUUAAAAUUUUAUUUUUUGAAAACAUGAUCAUCUGGUGGAUGUAAGAAGAUAAUAUCAUGUUUCGAUAUUUAUGAUUAACUGAAAUAUGAGUCAAUGUCAUAUAAUUUGUAGAAACUUUAUAAACAUCAAGCAAUAUUUUCACUAACCGUAGAACUCUAAAUAUAAUAUCAACGAUCCAACGAUCCAAACCGUUCAUCUACCUGCACCCUCUAAUAGAUCAUGUUUUCAAAAAAGAAAAUCUAAAAA